rnacentral:rRNA from 1 species
AUUGAACGCUGGCGGCAUGCUUUACACAUGCAAGUCGAACGGUAACAGGUUAAGCUGACGAGUGGCGAACGGGUGAGUAAUGCAUUGGAACGUGCCCGGUCGUGGGGGAUAACGCAGCGAAAGCUGCGCUAAUACCGCAUACGAUCUGAGGAUGAAAGCGGGGGACCGUAAGGCCUCGCGCGAUCGGAGCGGCCGAUGUCAGAUUAGGUAGUUGGUGGGGUAAAGGCUCACCAAGCCAACGAUCUGUAGCUGGUCUGGGACGACGACCAGCCACACUGAGACAGAGACACGGCCCAGACUCCUACGGGAGUCAGCAGUGGGGAAUUUUGGACAAUGGUCGAAAGCUUGAUCCAGCAAUGCCGCGUGCAGGAAGAAGGCCUUCGGGUUGUAAACUGCUUUUGUACGGAGCGAAAAGGUCUCCUCUAAUACAGGGGGCUCAUGACGGUACCGUAAGAAUAAGCACCGGCUAACUACGUGCCAGCAGCCGCCGUAA